UAUCUCCUGUCAUCGCAGUCACGACUUUGCUCCCACGAAGAGGAAGACCUGCGCACCAUUGGGAAUGGAAAAGGACGUGGCUAAGCAUGGAAUCUCCAAACAGCGAAAAGGAAGAACCUGGUGCUGUUGUAAACUCGGCUAUAACUGCGUUAGUGGUUAGGUUAUGUAAGGUUUUACCAGCUGGCUGUUACUCCAUAGACCUACAGAUACUUUGUAAUGCCAGAUGAAGGUCCAGUUUAAUACGAGUUGAAGUAAACAAGUUAUAGGACGGUUCUUAUUGGCUAUUUCGUUUCCCGGAAUGCCCUUCUGUGAACAUUCUAUGAACAUUCUCUGACGUGCCGUCCCCCUCAUUUAGUAUGACUUGAAACCUUCUCUCCCAGACCCCUGCUUAUUAAGUUUUGCCUCAAGGUACUUCUGAAAAAUUCACCUAACCCUGCCAAUCUUGCAAUUUCAAUUGGUGUUAGGUUGCAUAAUCUCAUAAUCUAUUAUGUAGAGAGCGGCGAACUGCUAUAUUCCCUCUAGUAGUUUUCUGUAUAAAAUUUUGCUGGCCGCUGUCCAUAGCUUGUCAACCGUCGUGUAACAACAAUACACGAGGACAGGUGAUAAACUCCAUAAGUGCAGUGGUCGAUAUAUUAUAAAGCAAUUUUUCAUACGCUCUAUCAUUCAGUCGUCAUCGAGACAGCGACGAAACAACAUCGCUUUUGGCCGUGCUGCUAAAAGAAUUUUUUGUCAUUAUGAAACCUUUGUGGUGUUACUAAUUACAUUUUGUAUUUAACGUUACUUAAAGACUAUAAUAUGAAGGUUUUAUAUAAAAAAACGCAAUUAAAUGGUCUCCAAAAAAUUGUACAUAAGCCUUACGUCACGUGCUCUUCAUUAGGGGUAUGAGCAAUUCGUGAGAUUUCGCAUUGUCAGUAAAAACUUCCACAUUUAAGUCUUCCUUUUGUCUCGAGUCCGUGACCAUGACCCACACCCAUUAACCUUUGACUCUUCUGUCUCCCAUUGCAGGAAAACCUUCCAAUUUCAAAUCGUUUUCGAGUCUGUGUCUAUCCCCAGCAUCAAUUAACUUUUGACUUUCCCAAUUCGCAUUGUCAGGAAAAACUUCCACAUUUAGGUCAUUCUCAAGACCGUGACCAUGAUCCAGCAUGAUUUUUCUGUCUUGUCAGAACAAACUUCCAAAUUUAGGUCAUUUUCAAGUCCAUGACCGUGACCAAGCACCCAUUAACCUUUGACUCUUCUGACUCGUAUUGUCAGGAAAAACUUCCAAAUUUAGAUCGUUCUCAAGUCCGUGAUCCUCCCCAACAUGCCUUGACCUUCGACUCUUCUGUAUAGCAAUAUUGGGAAAAAACUUCCACAUUUAGGUCGUUCUCGAGUCUGUGUCC